AGCAAAACAGGAUUAGAUACCCUGGUAGUCCACGCCGUAAACGAUGUCGACUUGGAGGUUGUGCCCUUGAGGCGUGGCUUCCGGAGCUAACGCGUUAAGUCGACCGCCUGGGGAGUACGGCCGCAAGGUUAAAACUCAAAUGAAUUGACGGGGGCCCGCACAAGCGGUGGAGCAUGUGGUUUAAUUCGAUGCAACGCGAAGAACCUUACCUGGUCUUGACAUCCACGGAAGUUUUCAGAGAUGAGAAUGUGCCUUCGGGAACCGUGAGACAGGUGCUGCAUGGCUGUCGUCAGCUCGUGUUGUGAAAUGUUGGGUUAAGUCCCGCAACGAGCGCAACCCUUAUCCUUUGUUGCCAGCGGUCCGGCCGGGAACUCAAAGGAGACUGCCAGUGAUAAACUGGAGGAAGGUGGGGAUGACGUCAAGUCAUCAUGGCCCUUACGACCAGGGCUACACACGUGCUACAAUGGCGCAUACAAAGAGAAGCAACCUCGCGAGAGCAAGCAGACCUCAUAAAGUACGUCGUAGUCCGGAUUGGAGUCUGCAACUCGACUCCAUGAAGUCGGAAUCGCUAGUAAUCGUGGAUCAGAAUGCCACGGUGAAUACGUUCCCGGGCCUUGUACACACCGCCCGUCACACCAUGGGAGUGGGUUGCAAAAGAAGUAGGUAGCUUAACCUUCGGGAGGGCGCUUACCACUUUGUGAUUCAUGACUGGGGUG
rnacentral:rRNA from 1 species